CUCCCCUUCUUCGAUACAUAUCGCUACUUAGAUGAUUCCUUUGACAACAAACUCACAUCAUGUUCUCCAACAAAACUUUUUCUUGUAACAAGUCAUUUGAUCCGAACAAUUAAUUCUCCAUUGCUCCGUCUCAUUUGAUCCGAGCUCAUCAUAUGUGCUCAAGCUUGAGGUUGAGCCUGCCUUGGGAGUAGAGGAGCCAAAACUCGUAUUAGCACCGGCUCUAAACUCAAUUCGACUUAUUUAUAAUCGUCGUCUGGGAUGAGUAUGAGGAGCACUUUUCUUCAAUAAAAUGGGCGUUGGAAUAACAUUUUUCUUCUAUUAAAUAGUACAACCCCAGAUAUUCCUUUGGCCACUUCUGUCCCGGCCGGCUAUGAAGCAAUGGCUCCUUCGCGCUCCCAAAGCGGGGUUUCCAUUGCGCGGGAAAAAGAAGAAAGUCCCGCUUCCCAUUUUCAAUACCCAAGAGAGCCUUAAUUCCGAGUGUUUCCAUGUUUCGUUCUCCGCUUCGCCGCCCCCAAUUUUCAUAAUCACCGACAACCUUUCCGGUACUUCAUCGAAUUACGUGACCGCCGUGGCUGGCGAUCUUGAUGAGGUAGAAUCGAAUUAUUCUUCCAUGAUUUCUCUUUUACUGGAGAACUCCGAUCAAUCUGGGUUACCAGAGUUUCCACCCGCGCCCUUUCUGGAACCCGUCGGAGCUGCUACGGAGAACCUGAAGGAGGCGAGCACAUCGGUUGAGCUGGCGUCGUUCAUUGAAGAUAUUGUAAGAUGCGGACAAAGUUGUGCGGAGGAGAUCUUAACGGAGUCGUCGGAGAUGACCGCUCAACCAGAAGCUCAGAUCAUCGUGGGAAAUUGUUCUGCGAAGGAUGAAGGAGAGCGUAAUCUGGAGUUAGCGAUAGCUGAAUUCUCAGAAGCCAUGGAGAAGCUCUGCGAUGCGAUCAGGGAGGUGUUAUUGCCCGAAAUUGAACAGAGGAAGCGACGAAACGGGAAUGAUGGCGUCUUCUUCUUCCUUGUGAGGAUGGGGGAGCUGACGCUGGCAUUCUUUAUCGGUGUUGUGCUGGUCUCCGUUCUCCUUACCGCGGUGGCUCCAGAAGGCUGCCUAAUCUUGAAUAACUUGUCGGAGUUCAACGGAUCUGCUCCGUCGUGAUUCAGUCGGCCAGGCGCUGGAAAUGGUUUACAGUCCGGCUCAACCGAUAUCCUUCAGGUUCUCCGUAGCAGCUCCGACGGGUUCCAGCAAAGGCGCGGGUGGAAACUCGUCAUAUGAUGGGAUAUCAAGGACGAAAAACAGAGAAAAAAUAUUUUAGUUAGGAGCUCACCUCCUCCGCACAACUUCCGCCUCUUACAAUAUCUUCAAUGAAAGACGCCGGCUCAACCGAUGUGCUCGCCUCCUUCAGGUUCUCCGUAGCAGCUCCGACGGGUUCCAGCAAGGGCGCGGGUGGAAACUCUGGUAGCCCAGAUUGAUCGGAGUUCUCCAGUGAAAGAGAAAUCAUCAAUAAUUCGAUUCUACCUCAUCAAGAUCGCCGGCCACGGCGGUCGCGUAAUUCGAUGAAGUACCGAAAGGUUGUCGGUGAUUAUGGAAAUUGGGGGCGGCGAAGCGGAGAACGAAACAUCGAGACACUCGGAAUUAGGGCUCUCCUGGGCAUUGAAAAUGGGAAGCGGGACCUUCUUCUUUUUCCCGCGCAAUGGAAUCCCCGCUUUGGGAGCGCGAAGGAGCCAUGGCUUCAUAGCCGGCCGGGACAGAAGUGACCAAAGCAAUAUCUGGGGUUGUACUAUUUAUAGAAGAAAAAUGUUAUUCCAACGCGCAUUUUAUUGAAGAAAAGUGCUUCUCACACUCAUCUCAGACGACGAUUAUAAAUAAGUCAAAUUGAGUUUAGAGCCGGUGCUAAUACGAGUUUUGGCUCCUCUACUCUCAAGCCAGGCUCAACCUCAAGCUUGAGCACAUAUGAUGAGUUUUGCUGGAGGAGGUAUCAAAGAGACGGGGCAAUGGAGACUGAAUUGUUCGGAUCAAAUGACUUGUUACCAGAAAAAGUUUUGUCGGAGAAAUCCAUGAUUCAUAAUAACUAAGUUAUGAAUUUUACGAGCAGGCUUCAUCCUUUUUGAUACAAUAUAUUGUUCCAUUGUGUUAUAUUAGCUUUCACCAGUCUUAUGGAGUUUAUGCAUCAAAUCUUGUAGAAGAAUCAGUAAUGUUUCCAUGCAUCCCCAAGGGCUAUAAUCAAACAUCUGAUCAUGGUAUCCUACCCAAUUUCAAGGACAGAAAAAUCUGGAAUUUUAAUUUGCAAGGAAAUUUUAAAGCAUGCAGAGGAGAUAUUGUUAGAAGACAAAAGCUGAAUUGUAUUAAAUUAACUUAUAGCAUAUCUGUAAUAUAGCAUGUACUUACAACUGCACAUAUGUACGCCUAUAUAAAGAUGACCCAUGUAUCUGUUGGACAAGAACAAAGAAUAUAAUUUCAUUUAGUUUCUUUAAUUGUUUUCGUCUUCUUUUUCUGUCCGGUUCUUUCAAGAACCUGCAACAGCUCAAGAACCAUAAGUUCUACAUGGUAUCAGAGCAGGGGUGGAAGGAAGUGUAGCGAAAUGGAAAACUCAAUGACGUCUCAAAUGGGUGAGCACUCCGCAGACGCAGAGAACGCUGGAGAAAUGAUCAUCCCAUCAUCCUUGAAGUUUGUCAUGUCAAACCUGAAGAAUAUUGUGCCAACGCAACUCUCACCGGAAAACUACUCAUUAUGGAGAUCCCAGAUUGUCAAACUUCUCCGCGCAAACGGGUUUGAACAAUUUCUUGAUCCCGCUUUCUCUCCACCUGAUAAACAAAUCAGGACAUCCGACGAAUCUUUUGUCCCUAAUCCCAAAUAUACGCAAUGGAUUCACAUGGAUCAAAACCUUGCGGCAGCCAUGUGUUCUACCAUUUCACAGUCAAUCUUACCAUACAUCAUCCAUCUCGAAUCCACGGCCACCAUAUGGACAGCACUUGAAACACGCUUCCAAUCCACGAAUCGAUCCAAAGUAAUCCAACUCAAAAAUGAACUCCACAAC